rnacentral:rRNA from 1 species
UCAGGAUGAACGCUGGCGGCGUGCCUAACACAUUCAAGUCGAACGGACGCGAUCCCUUCGGGGAUCAAGUUAGUGGCGGACGGGUGAGUAAUGCAUGAGCAACCUGCCUCGAAGAGGGGAAUAACACAGAGAAAUUUGUGCUAAUACCGCAUAAUGUACCGAUCGGACAUCCGGACGGUAAGAAAGGAGCAAUCCGCUUUGAGAUGGGCUCAUGUCUGAUUAGACAGUUGGCGGGGUAACGGCCCACCAAGUCUACGAUCAGUAGCCGGACUGAGAGGUUGAACGGCCACAUUGGGACUGAGACACGGCCCAGACUCCUACGGGAGGCAGCAGUGGGGAAUAUUGGACAAUGGGCGAAAGCCUGAUCCAGCCGACGCCGCGUGAAGGAAGAAGGUCUUCGGAUUGUAAACUUUAGUGAGCAGGGACGAUGAUGACGGUACCUGCAGAGCAAGCCACGGCUAACUACGUGCCAGCCGCAGC